AGGCUGGGUCCGAAGCAGUGAGUGUAAUACGAUUCCAGGCCCAGCCUGGUCCCCAGCACCCACCAACCUCCCUGCUUCUCUGUUGCAGGCGUGUGGAGAUGUGCCCGCCUCCCACCCUGCCUGCUGGCCCAGAGCCCUCCCCUGGAGGGCCACACAUCCUGUGUCCAGACAGCCCCGCAGAAGGCCGAGGGGACUGUGGGGCCGUCCGUCAGAUGGCCAGCUGCCCUUGGCCUCCUCCUAUGUUACUUCCCUGGACUGCAAGGGAGUGAGGGAACAACAACAAAACUGGAAGGAAUGACAGUUAAAAUACUAUAUGAGAAACUGG